ACAAUCUUAACAAUCCGGUGACGGUGUAGUUCAAGAUCCGAUUUCUUGGCGUACGAGAUAUCCAUCGAUCCACCACAAAUCAUCACCAAAACCACUGGUUUUCUUGGUUGAUUUAGUGCUUUGAGUGGUUCGAUAGAUUUGUAAGGUGGGCUCGGGUAGUUCCUCGACAAGGGUUUCAAGAUCUGAUGGUGGUUUCAAGAUCCGGCGGUGGUCAACAAAUCCGUUAUGAACAUCAAAAGAUCAUCCACCACAUAUGAACAUAUGAACAUCAUGGUGGCUUGGAUCACAUGGUGGCUUGGUUCCAUGGCUACAUAUGAUGCUUCAGAUAACGGUUGAAGAUGCUCCAGAUGCUCCGGUUGAAUAUGCUCCGAAAAGAUGCUACCAGAUCUACCAGAUCUAAGCAACUCGGGUGAAGCAUCGGAUAACCAAACUGGGACAACGCUCGGUUGAAGGACAAGUUUUAAGUUAAAGGUUAUUUGCACGUAGUUUUGGGUGAUCAUCAAGUCAACGCCAAGAAACCGAACACAAUGAAGAUCUAGUUUCCGCACCUUUUGUAAACCGUGUGUUUAUAGUUCAAACUUUUAAGUUGUUUGGGAAUACUUUAUGUAUCCUAGUAUGUUUCCUUUUAACGACAAAGUUAUGUAAAUGUCUUUUACCAUAUAAUAAUAUGGAAAUUUUGU
rnacentral:lncRNA from 1 species